UCUUCAGUGAUUAUUAAUACAGUGACUUUCGUUCUUCUGAGUAUAAUGAAGCCAACCUCUGUUCUGAGAAGA